rnacentral:rRNA from 1 species
AGUGCUUGCACUAAAUGAAACUAGAUACAAGCGAGCGGCGGACGGGUGAGUAACACGUGGGUAACCUGCCCAAGAGACUGGGAUAACACCUGGAAACAGAUGCUAAUACCGGAUAACAACACUAGACGCAUGUCUAGAGUUUGAAAGAUGGUUCUGCUAUCACUCUUGGAUGGACCUGCGGUGCAUUAGCUAGUUGGUAAGGUAACGGCUUACCAAGGCAAUGAUGCAUAGCCGAGUUGAGAGACUGAUCGGCCACAUUGGGACUGAGACACGGCCCAAACUCCUACGGGAGGCAGCAGUAGGGAAUCUUCCACAAUGGACGAAAGUCUGAUGGAGCAACGCCGCGUGAGUGAAGAAGGGUUUCGGCUCGUAAAGCUCUGUUGGUAGUGAAGAAAGAUAGAGGUAGUAACUGGCCUUUAUUUGACGGUAAUUACUUAGAAAGUCACGGCUAACUACGUGCCAGCAGCCGCGGUAAUACGUAGGUGGCAAGCGUUGUCCGGAUUUAUUGGGCGUAAAGCGAGUGCAGGCGGUUCAAUAAGUCUGAUGUGAAAGCCUUCGGCUCAACCGGAGAAUUGCAUCAGAAACUGUUGAACUUGAGUGCAGAAGAGGAGAGUGGAACUCCAUGUGUAGCGGUGGAAUGCGUAGAUAUAUGGAAGAACACCAGUGGCGAAGGCGGCUCUCUGGUCUGCAACUGACGCUGAGGCUCGAAAGCAUGGGUAGCGAACAGGAUUAGAUACCCUGGUAGUCCAUGCCGUAAACGAUGAGUGCUAAGUGUUGGGAGGUUUCCGCCUCUCAGUGCUGCAGCUAACGCAUUAAGCACUCCGCCUGGGGGAGUACGACCGCAAGGUUGAAACUCAAAGGAA